rfam:Wild cucumber mosaic virus replicase protein gene, partial cds; and virion protein gene, complete cds.
AGUGUUUUCGGCUCCACUUAAAUCGAAGCCC